UCGAAUAGUAAGUAAAAUAGAUUGAAAAUAAAUUAGCCAAACGUUAAAAAAUAAAAUACACAUUUUUUUAUUAACUAUUUAUAUAAAUAAAAUACAAAAAAAUUGAAGGAAAAUUAUAAGUAAUUGCUAAUCUAUUUAAAUCCCAGUAUAUUCAUAGAGUAAUAUACAGUACCGGCUUUUUUUUUUACAAAAAAAUAAAUAAAGGCACCCUAACAAUAUCCUGGCUUUGCCCCACUGCUGUCCUAAAGCUUUGCUUGUACGGGCAACUCCACUGACUGAGCACAAAACUAUUAAAAGACCAAAAGAGGGGCACAGAGAAACAGAUUUCACUUUAUUUAACAUAAUACAUGAAAACAAAGCAGUUACAUAAAGCCACGUUCUGAGUUCCAAACAAAGGAGUCUUCACACAUUUGUUCAGAAUAUUCAAAUGUUUGAUUUUUCUAGAAGCUUAAUACAUUCCCAACUUCCUACUUGAUUAAUAGAUACAUAAACUAACAGCAUUCC
rnacentral:lncRNA from 1 species